GACGAACGCUGGCGGCGUGCUUAACACAUGCAAGUCGAGCGGUAAGGCCCUUUCGGGGGUACGACGAGCGGCGAACGGGUAGAGUAACACGUGGGUGGACCUGCCCUCCAGCUCUGGGAGUAAGCCUGGGAAACGUAGGGUCGUAAUACUGGAUAUGACUCCACGGUGCAUGUCGUGGGGUGGAAAGCCUUGUGCGGCUGAGGAUGGGCCCGCGGCCUAUCAGCUUGUUGGUGGGGUGAUGGCCUACCAAGGCGACGACGGGUAGCCGG
rnacentral:rRNA from 1 species